AGCAUCUUUUAUAUGUACAUUAAUAUUCUUAUACAAUAAGCCAUCUUUCUCAAGAAGUAUGCUUGUUUAAAUGUGAAUAAUACUUUUAGAUGGUCUCCAUAGUGUCGGGAAAGGAUUAGGAGCUGGUGGUCAGCCGCUUAAUCUUAAUAAAGAUUUUUACAUAGCA